AGUGAACGCUGGCGGUAGGCCUAACACAUGCAAGUCGAACGGCAGCACAGUAAGAGCUUGCUCUUACGGGUGGCGAGUGGCGGACGGGUGAGGAAUACAUCGGAAUCUACUUUUUCGUGGGGGAUAACGUAGGGAAACUUACGCUAAUACCGCAUACGACCUACGGGUGAAAGCAGGGGAUCUUCGGACCUUGCGCGAUUGAAUGAGCCGAUGUCGGAUUAGCUAGUUGGCGGGGUAAAGGCCCACCAAGGCGACGAUCCGUAGCUGGUCUGAGAGGAUGAUCAGCCACACUGGAACUGAGACACGGUCCAGACUCCUACGGGGGGCAGCAGUGGGGAAUAUUGGACAAUGGGCGCAAGCCUGAUCCAGCCAUACCGCGUGGGUGAAGGAGGCCUUCGGGUUGUAAAGCCCUUUUGUUGGGAAAGAAAAGCAGCAGGUUAAUACCCCGCUGUUCUGACGGUACCCAAAGAAUAAGCACCGGCUAACUUCGUG
rnacentral:rRNA from 1 species